GUACAUUUAUUUUGACAGUUUCAGUGCUCUUAUGAUCAAAAGAAGUCACUAAAAUGAUAAUCAUUUAAGAGCAGUGGUUUAGGACCAAGUUGUUAGCUUCCUGUUCAGUUUUUCAAAGCAUGGCCUGUGAUGGAUUUCUGUGCUAGGACAUUUUUAUAAAUUAAGAGUAAAUACGUUUUUAUGGGUGUGCACAUAUUUGUUUUCUGUUAUUUCUGUACUCUUAAAUGUCACUAUAUCCAGAGCACACCAGUAUACUCCAUCUUCAUGGGAUGCUUAGUUCUAAGUUGAUGGUGCUGGUACUUUCUUAACCUGUACUUUGCCCACUGGAAGCUGAUUUUUACCCCUUGACUUUCUUGCUAAUUUUUACAGGAGAAAUGUAUUGACUUCGCUAUUAUAAUGUAAAUGCAAAAUCAGAUUGUAAGAGUAGUUUGAAAAGGGUGAAGCUUUUUUAGUUCACUAAUGCAGAGGCUGCAUCAGGAAUUUUCUUAGGUAAAGACGUUUGUUGUUAUUUGGAUUUUAUAAAUGCUCGUUAUUUGGUAGGGAGUUUCCCAUUUUAGAGGCAAUUUAUUUCCCAAGGGCUUUAGAACUGAAAAUGUAGGGGAGAAGAUGAGGGAUUGAAUUUGAAAACUAUUUCAGGGCCUGAGAAUUAAAUUUCUUUUAUUUUAUACAGGUACUAUUUAUAAAUUAUGCUAUUGUGCCUAGAAAUGCCAUCUAGAAGAAGAAUGAGUUCUGUUUUGAAGGGAGAGGGAAAAAAAUCCUUAAAUCUCCAAAAUGAUGAAUAUGACAAAAGGUCUGAGGCUGACAAAAGCAUGAGGCAAAUGCAGCAAGGAGUAGAAAAUGGGUGAACAAGCAAGCAAGUUGGAGAACUGCCUGCUCAAUUGGUCUAGUGAAACAAAUAUUACUGCAAUUUAGGUACUGAACAAAUUAGACUGCUCCCUACUCCUUCAAAACCUGCAGAAUUUGCACAUCAGGUGAGCUGGACAUAUGUAGAAACAUAGUGGGGUCCCCUCAGCUUAGAAUAAAACUCAAAUUCAUGGUAGCAAUAAUGUCAAUGGGAAGUAAACUUAUUGAAGCAAAUUAUAAAAAUAAUAGGAAAUCUACCAUGAGUCAAAAUAUAGCAACUUAUAUUUCAGUUAAUGAAAUUUGGUACAUUCUAUGUAUUUAUGUAUUCUCCAUUUUUAAUGUAAUUCUAGUUUUUUUCCUAUGGAGAACUAUAUAUGAAAAGAGAUUGUUUUUAAAAGAUAGGGUAUUUAUAUUCUAGGUUGUUUUAAGGAUACAGUACUGUAGGUCUACCGUUGAUCUCAAGUUUACUAAAAUUCACAUCUAUGGUAUAACUUAGAGAAAGCAGAAGGGAAAUUAUUUUAAUUUAAAAUUGUACACCAAAAAAAGUCCAAGCAAAAUUUUGAACCAUUUUGAUAAGCAAGGCCUGUGGAUGUUUUGACUGUUGCUCAAUUUAAACAAAAAAAAGAGUAAAUAUAAUAGGUUUUUGAAAAUGAAAUAAAUAAUAUGGUGCUCCUCUGACAUUUUUUCAGAUGAACAAUUUUUCAGGAAGAUUACAAGGCUGAGUAGUCAGUUUUUGAGAGGUGGAGUAUAGUUUAGUUGGUGGGCCUGCUGUGAUUGGAAUUGAUUAAUGGGUGUUGUGAUAAGCAUAGAAACAGAUCAGUGGCAGCUUAUCCUGCUUUCAGCUGUCACAGCUGUGCCUCUUCACUCUUCUUCUGGCCCUAUCACACUCCCUGGCAGCCUUUAAAGUACCUCCUUCCCAGUGGAAUUUCUGCAAAUCAUCUACUCAAAUGCCAAGAUACCCUAGAAGCAGCUGUGUCUGAGAAAAUUUGUUCAGGCUCACGUAUUUGUUGUGAUGAAGAAUAUCACGUUAGAGAAUCCUUUCCUCCUGCAGGAGGAAGCACGCUGUGCCAUCCCCUGAAGAGAGAGUUAAAUGAUGAUUCUGAUGGGCAGGUUUUGGAAGUUCUGAAUGUACUUUGAAAGCAUUUCCCUGGUUUCCUUAAUGAGAACUGUGAUCUCCAGUGUGAUCCCUGAUGCAGGUAGUUUGAUAGGAAUCAUGCAGUUUUAACAAAAAAUUACAGGUAUGUGGCUUUUAUACAAAAUAAAGAUGGGACCCUGAGGUCCCUUCUAAGCUGGCAUUCAAUGAGCCAAACCUUUUAUGUAACUUCAUGGAUUUGAGGAGGAUAGCCCAGGAAUUAUGUGCUUUGUGGGAUAUGAGACUUAAUGCUCUGUAGGAUUUCUCUGAUUUGUUACAAAAAAUAUUUUCUUCAUUUUAUUGGAAAGAGAAUAAGCCUAGAGCAUGGGAAUAACUGUACUGCUCUUUCUGGACAUUUUGUAGAUUAUAAUACUUAGGUGGUAAAAAGUCUUGUUAUGAAAUCUCUGGGUGCUGUAAAUAAUUUUUGGCUUCUCUGUAUGCUUUAAAUGCCUGAGGCAGCUAUCCCAGCAUUAUCAAUAAAUAUUAAAACAUGUUUUUAUCCAACUCAGGCAAAUUAAAUCUGAAUUGAAAAGCAAAUGAUGCACACAGAAGGUCUCAUCUCUGGCUAAAUCUGCAACAUGUU